AUGGAGAAGAGGAAGCAGGAUGAAGGAAGGGACGAAUCGAGCUCCUUCGAUGCCAAGCGGUGUAGGUCUUGCCACUGCCAGAACGGGGAGACGAGCAGGCCAAAUGAUGGGAUGCCGCCUCGGGAGGGGUUUUCAGAUAUCGUCCGUGCGGUAAUCGAACUGAAAGACGUCAUGCAGCUUCACCUGCGCACUGAGGAAAACUUCAGAAGGAAAAUUCAAAAGCUUAAGGAAAAUAGGAAAAAGGACAAGAUCAAGCACGCGGAAGAUCUCAGAGUACUCAAGGAAGACCUCAUCAGAAUAUUCAAGGAAGAUCACGAAGUGCUCAAAUCAAAAAUCCAAGAAAUGCAAAAAGAAGCGUGUACUGAAGUAAAUCAUUACAAGGCAUCUCCAUCUGAGAGGGGAAUUCCAUUCCUGGAUGGGAAACAUUUGUUGAAGAUACAAGUCAUUCAAAUGUCCGGCCACCAGUUGAAGAGCAUUAUGCGUCAUUUGGAUAUGGUCGAGUGCUACUUCAAUGGGAUGAGCCUCAUGUGGAGCUCAAGAAACACUGGAACUUUCUUGAUCAUCUCAUGCCGCUGUAUAGCACACAAUCAGGGUUUUAUAGAGAAGAUUUCCCCAGUACGAGCCUCAUGGAUAAAACCCAUAAGUUACUGGCCAGUAUUUCAUCAGACGAUUCUGUUUGGAAGAUAA
rnacentral:rRNA from 1 species